AGAGUUUGAUCCUGGCUCAGAACGAACGCUGGCGGCGUGCCUAACACAUGCAAGUCGAACGGAGUAUAUUUUGUAGCAAUACAGGAUAUACUUAGUGGCGGACGGGUGAGUAACACGUAAGCAACCUACCCUUAAGCUGGGGACAACUCAGGGAAACUUGAGCUAAUACCCGAUAAGACCACGAACUGAGAUAUUAGUGGUAAAAGGAGCAAUUCACUUAAGGAUGGGCUUGCGGCCUAUCAGGUAGUUGGUGAGGUAAUGGCCCACCAAGCCUAAGACGGGUAGCCGGACUGAGAGGUUGAACGGCCACACUGGAACUGAGAUACGGUCCAGACUCCUACGGGAGGCAGCAGUGGGGAAUCUUGCGCAAUGGGGGAAACCCUGACGCAGCAACGCCGCGUGGGUGAUGAAGGCCUUCGGGUCGUAAAGCCCUGUCAGGUGGGAAGAAAUAUGUGAAUGUAAACAACAUUGACAUUUGACGGUACCACCGGAGGAAGCACCGGCUAACUCCGUGCCAGCAGCCGCGGUAAUACGGAGGGUGCAAGCGUUGUUCGGAAUUACUGGGCGUAAAGCGCGUGUAGGCGGUUGGGCAAGUCAGAUGUGAAAGCCUUCCGCUCAAGGGAAGAAGUGCAUUUGAAACUACCCGGCUAGAGUACGGGAGAGGAGAGUGGAAUUCCCGGUGUAGAGGUGAAAUUCGUAGAUAUCGGGAGGAACACCAGUGGCGAAGGCGGCUCUCUGGUCCGAUACUGACGCUGAGACGCG
rnacentral:rRNA from 1 species